rnacentral:rRNA from 1 species
CCUACGGGAGGCAGCAGUGGGGAAUAUUGGACAAUGGGCGAAAGCCUGAUCCAGCCAUGCCGCGUGUGUGAAGAAGGCCUUCGGGUUGUAAAGCACUUUCAGUGGGGAAGAAAGCCUUGGGGCUAAUACCCUCGAGGAAGGACAUCACCCACAGAAGAAGCACCGGCUAACUCCGUGCCAGCAGCCGCGGUAAUACGGAGGGUGCGAGCGUUAAUCGGAAUUACUGGGCGUAAAGCGCGCGUAGGCGGUCUGAUAAGCCGGUUGUGAAAGCCCCGGGCUCAACCUGGGAACGGCAUCCGGAACUGUCAGGCUAGAGUGCAGUAGAGGAAGGUAGAAUUCCCGGUGUAGCGGUGAAAUGCGUAGAGAUCGGGAGGAAUACCAGUGGCGAAGGCGGCCUUCUGGACUGACACUGACGCUGAGGUGCGAAAGCGUGGGUAGCAAACAGGAUUAGAUACCCCAGUAGUC